UACGUAGGGGGCAAGCGUUACUCGGAUUCACUGGGCGUAAAGCGCGUGUAGGCGGCUGGUCAAGCGUGAUGUGAAAUCUCCGGGCUCAACCCGGAAACUGCAUCGCGAACUGGCCUGGCUGGAGUGCAGGAGAGGGUAGUGGAAUUCUCGGUGUAGAGGUGAAAUUCGUAGAUAUCGAGAGGAACACCGGUGGCGAAGGCGGCGAUCUGGACGAUGACUGACGCUGAGACGCGAAAGCGUGGGGAGCAAACGGG
rnacentral:rRNA from 1 species